rnacentral:rRNA from 1 species
AUCAAAUAAAACUUUGAACAACGGAUCUCUUGGUUCCAACAUGGAUAAAGAACACAACGAAAUGCGAUGAUUAAUGUGAAUUGUAUAAUUCAUUGAAUCAUCGAAUCUUUGAACGCACAUUGCGCCCUCUGGUAUUCCGGGGGGCAUGCCUGAUCCAUCGUCCUUUCACCACUCAAGCCUGACUUGGAAUUGGGCGUCACGA